GGGGUUGUGACUCAGAGGUAGAGUGCUCGCCUAGCAAAUGUGAGGCACUGGGUUCAAACCUCAGCACCACA
rnacentral:tRNA from 1 species